AGGAAGUUUUCGGAUGGAAUCUUGAUUGACUGAGUGGCGGACGGGUGAGUAACGCGUGGGUAACCUGCCUCAUACAGGGGGAUAACAGUUAGAAAUGACUGCUAAUACCGCAUAAGCGCACGAUACCGCAUGGUAUUGUGUGAAAAACUCCGGUGGUAUGAGAUGGACCCGCGUCUGAUUAGCUAGUUGGCGGGGUAACGGCCCACCAAGGCGACGAUCAGUAGCCGACCUGAGAGGGUGACCGGCCACAUUGGGACUGAGACACGGCCCAAACUCC
rnacentral:rRNA from 1 species